GACGAACGCUGGCGGCGUGCUUAACACAUGCAAGUCGAGCGGUAAGGCCCUUUCGGGGGUACGACGAGCGGCGAACGGGUGAGUAACACGUGGGUGACCUGCCCUCAGCUCUGGGAUAAGCCUGGGAAACCGGGUCUAAUACUGGAUAUGGCUCCAUGACGCAUGUUGUGGGGUGGAAAGCCUUGUGCGGCUGAGGAUGGGCCCGCGGCCUAUCAGCUUGUUGGUGGGGUGANGGCCUACCAAGGCGACGACGGGUAGCCGGCCUGAGAGGGCGACCGGCCACACUGGGACUGAGACACGGCCC
rnacentral:rRNA from 1 species